ensembl:lncRNA
GUGGAAACACUCAACAACAGUCAAAGGUUUAGCUAUACAUGGUGGUACUGCAUUCAGAUAUCCCUGUAUGACAGAGUUCAGCCCUUUCUUCAAGGAACUCUCUGAAGGUUUCUCGGGAGCCAGAGUAAAUCUGUGGAGUAUUCUCAAAAGAGAAUAUGCAUAUAAGCAACGUUGAGGAUGGUGGCCUCAAGUGAUAUGAUGAUGUGCUUGGUAUAUGCCCCUGCAGUAUAGAAAAAUAGUUGGAGAUUUCUGGUUUCUCAGCAGUUACUGCUCAGGAUGGAUGAUGACCUUGCUGGAGGCAGAAAGCCACCCUGUCUCUAUAAAACACAGACAGCGAGACAUAGAGAAGGGAGUCCCUUCCCUUACAAAUGUGUUUCUGUCUGUUUCAGGAGGAGGAGCUGUCUGGAGAAAAUAGUUAGCAUCCAGAUUGUGUAUUGUUCUUUCCUUCUAAUCACGUCAGAGCAGCAGUGCUCGCUGGUGGAUCCGUGGACGGAGAGGGGCUUUCAGUUCCAGAAAUGCACUGUUGCAUGUGGGAAAAUUUCAGCCAGUCUUUUCCUUGAGAGGAAGAGGUUCCCCACAGUCAUGCUGAGGAAGACCUCAGGAGCGUAG